CUAUAACAUGUGGUAUGUGGAUUCCUAUAACAUGUGAUACCAACUUUUGAGCAGUUCUUUUUGACUGCCAGUGUAUAACAAGUUGAGCCUGCCAUGUAGGCUAAUAACAAUUAAGCUAUACAAGCAACAAGCAGACGCAUUACACAUGACGUCACAGCGCCGGUGACGAUGAUUUUGAGGACAAAUUAACAAUCUAUGCAUAAU